rnacentral:rRNA from 1 species
CCUACGGGUGGCAGCAGUGGGGAAUAUUGCACAAUGGGCGAAAGCCUGAUGCAGCAACGCCGCGUGAAGGAAGACGGUUUUCGGAUUGUAAACUUCUAUCAGUAGGGAAGAAAGAAAUGACGGUACCUAACUAAUAAGCCCCGGCUAACUACGUGCCAGCAGCCGCUGUAAUACGUAGGGGGCAAGCGUUAUCCGGAAUUACUGGGUGUAAAGGGAGAGUAGGUGGCAAGGUAAGCGAUAUGUGAAAGCCUUAAGCUUAACUUAAGGAUUGCAUAACGAACUAUCUAGCUAGAGUACAGGAGAGGAAAGCGGAAUUCCCAGUGUAGCGGUGAAAUGCGUAGAUAUCAGGAAGAACACCAGUGGCGAAGGCGGCUUGCUGGACUGAAACUGACGCUGAGGCUCGAAAGCGUGGGGAGCGAACAGGAUUAGAUACCCGGGUAGUC